rnacentral:lncRNA from 1 species
GCGCUGCGUUGGGCUCACACCCUCCCCGGCGCUCGCGGGCAUGGGAGGUCUAUCUCGCUUUCUCCUUCUGUCUUGGGCUGUGGGUGAAUGUGUGAGAGAAAGGAAGAGUGAGUGUACGGUGCGAGGAGUGUGAGUGGGGAGUGUGAGAGAGCAGGGGUGGGAGGUUUCGGAUCUCGGAUGAAUCCGCUCAGCCGGAAUGCCGCGGGGCGCAACGCGCCAAGGGCCCGCGCCGGGCUAGGGACGCGGGUGCCAGUGCCCCCCAGGCAAGCAAGGGAUGGUGCGCGAGAGCCGUGCUGCCGUCUGCGCCCGCUCGUCAGUCUCCCCUCUGUGCCUGCCGCCGCCGCUACUGCUGCUGCUCCCCCUGCCGAUGCCGCAAACUACUGGCGGUGGAGUCUGGAGAGAGCAGGAGAGAGCCGGAGCUGCUGAGACAGGCUACGCCAGGCACUGGCCAAUCAGCGCUCAGCCCAGCGGGCCCCCGCCUUGGGGCGGGGCCAAUGCGCGGGAGGGGGCGGGGCCAGCCGGAAACUUACACACUGGCGGGACCAAGUGGUACCCCGGCCCGCCGAGGCAAGGCAGCAGUCUGGGAGGCCAGUCAGGCCCAGCAGGGGCCAGAAGGCAGGGUGGAGCAAGUCGAGGGGUGCGCUGGAGCUGCAGCUGAGCCUCCCCAGGAACUGCGCGCCUCUCGUGUUUGUAGAGAUUGCAGGAGAGAUGAGGAUUUGAUUCUCUCGGUUUGGUCUGUCGGUUUCUCUUUCUUCUUCUCGGUUAGUGGAAGGAAGAAAGGGAAGGAGAAAGCGCCCCAGACGUGGUCAUUCAUCCAGCUCUUGGCCAGUGACUCUUCAGCUAAGAGCCGCGGCAGCCAUCCUCCCGGACCGUCAUCCCAUCCCUCCUUUCGGAGCAGACCUGCGAGCCUCCACCCCCACCCCUGGCGCAAGCAGGGUCCCUGACCCGGUUCGGUUCGCUCUUGUCUGUUGUCUGUUAAUCAAAUGGGAUCUGUGGCGCAGGGACUGAGCCACCCAGAGGGCUGGACAUAUUUCGUUGCCCCUCACCCAACCCCACUGGAGAAUUUAGCUCCCUAUAAAUAAACUGUACAUUUGAGAAGAGCAGGUGGGCGGACGCCGCCGCACCGCGCCAAGCUAGGAGAGCCGAGAGCCCAGAGGGAGGUGUGGAGCUGGUGCGGGGGCGUGGGACGGUGGCUGGCGUGUGUCGGUGCUGAGAAGCGGGAGGCCGGCGUGGCCGGGGUUGAUAUCAAACGGCUUCCCUUCUGGACUGAAGGCGCCCUGGGGACAGAGGGGGACUCCUCCCUGGCCCGUCCUGAUUCUCUUAAUUAAGGUCAUGGGCUGGAAGAAUCAAAAGUACUUCUCUGAACAAGUUGGGAUGUUUUGUUUUUUCAUCAUAGAUUGGGGGUGGAGGAGGGCUGGCUUCUGAAUUCACAAUUCUUGAAAGAGUGCAUCACCCUUCUGAGUGAAUAGUCUUGGAUAUUUGGGAGUCUUGGGUGAGCAAAUUCAUAAUUAAGCCAGAGACACUGGCCUGAGCCUGUGUGCUUAAAAUGAGACUCACUUUUGCCCUUUUAAAAACAUUAAAUAAGGGGAAAAGGCAUUUGAACACAUAAUAGGUUUUCUCAAAACUGCCAUGUUUUUGCAGAGAACAGCCUAGCUGCUUUUUAAAAAUAUUUCUUUUCCCAAGAGGAGCUAGUUUAGCGGCCUUUACUUUGGCAGGAGGAAGAAGAAGACAGCUUUCUCCCUCAGAAAGGAAUUGUUCUGGGAUUGAGUUUGAGACCGCCCCCCCGCCCCCCGCCCCAACGUGCAUCUGAGACCAAGGGGAGGGCGCAAAGAGCUUGAUCCGCUUUCCGCGUGGGGGUCGUUUCACUCUCUCAUAUUAGGAUGCAAUUCAGCCCAGAACAUCUAGGAGAAAAUCGAAGCAUCUGCAAUGAGUAUCAUUUAAUUUGGUCAUUUAGAGGUGCAGGUGAACAACAGAGUUGUGACUCGAGGGAGCCGCGUGGCCCGCCUGCUUUUCCGCAGACCCUGCCUGCCGAGGACAGUGACAACAUGGCAGGCAACGCGGAUGCACCUCACAGGCUCCGCAAAGAAGGGCUCCAUUUGAUUUAUCGCAGUUAUUUACCUUUGAUGCCAGCGAGUGGGAAUGAAGUGCAUCUUGGUCUAAUUAAAACGGCCUAAAAGGCAUUUGAAAUGGGCUGCUAUCUGAUCACGGGAUAUGAGUUCGGCAUUUGGCAGCGUUCUAAAAUAUUGCUUGGACUAUUUAAACAGAACAAUUAGCAGCAUGCUAAAAUGUUUGCAUGCUAUGCUUAGAAGCUUUAGCUGUAAACUUUAAGGCGAUCUGUUCUCCUUUAAGUCAAAAAAGGAUGAUGCUGCUUCCUUGUGGCGAAGGCUGUCAGGAACCCACUGAUCAAUAAAAGUAAACUGGCGCCUCCAUGGCUUGACUGAGCGGGAGCAAAGAGUCUGAGAAGUAGUCUCGGCCAUUAACAAUCCCCCAGGUAACGAGAAAUGGAAGAAUUACUCAGGUAAAAUGAUUAUCAUUGCCGUGGCAUCUGAAAAGACGCACACAACAAGAUAAGAGGGCUGAGGAUCUCUUACCUUGGGGAAUGCUAAUAGAAUGUCUAUAGUCUGUUGUCUUUAAAAGAUAAAUAAGAGAAUUCAAUCCAUGUACAAUGUCAUUACCUUUGUAAUUGCAAUCACAUUGUAAAGACAUGUUCUGCAUUUGCAAAGACAAAUGUGCUCGCUUCGCUACAGAGAUCACACGGGGUGCCCAGGGUCCUGCUCACUGUUCACACUCAAUGCUCCCCGCCUUUCCAAGUAGAACACCAGAAGUAUUCCCAGCUAUACUAAACCGCUUUUAUGAAAACCAGGUGCCAGGGAGGCUGGGCCGUGUGCCUCUGCUUUCCUUCCUUCUCAUCACCCGCAAGCUCAAAGUGAUAGUGACACCUCCCCUCCAAAACAUAGUUCUUCCAUCCCCCUGGUCUACUUCCACAGAUAGCCGUAAUACAGCCGCCGCCGUUUGCUCUCAGAAUGUAUUUUUUGCUAAUAGACGCACGUUAUCAUUAUACUCCAACAAUGUUUGCUAAUAAACACACUUGAUCAUCGUACUCCAACAAUGCUACUAAGUGAGUAGCCGAAAACACCUUCACGAU